UCUGGACCUGGAACCCCCUGCAGCACGACCGUCGCGCGCUUCCCUCCGGAACCAGCUCCCACCGUCAGAGCCCCCUCCCUCGGCCGCUCUGGGCUCAGCCCAGGCUGGGGCGGGGCCUCGGAAGCAGCUGCCCUCGCCCUAGCCAGGGCGGCCCCUCGUUAGGCCAAGUUUUCAAACGGCAAAAUCAACCGCGCUGAAGAGACUAUGCCUCCUUCUCUUCACUCCGCAUCCCAGACGCCUCAGAGAAACUACCUUUCAGACCUUCGCGGCCUCUCCUGCGCCCUCAGCGCCCGGGAGCUGGGUACCCGGGCUUGGCCACAUCGACCGCAACGUUCGCGCGCCACCUUGUGUCCAUUCCUUUAGCCUCCAGGGACAACCCGGAAACCACGUUUCCCAGCGUGCCGAGCGCCUCUGCGCAGGCGCAAAGAGUUUCCCUCGUUGCCGUGGGAACUUCUCCCCUUCUAGAGUCCCUGCCGCUUGACUCAGCGAAGCGCGAAGGUGUUGUUUCUUCCUGAGAUAUGGGAUGCUGGAGGAUGUCUGGGGGCCACAAAUGCUCCUUCUCCUGGAGACGCAACUCAAGGUGUUGGCAUACAGGGCUGGCUCUCCCAAAGUGGGAGCAGGGUUUGAAGGCGGAGCGAAGAGGAGAAGGUCAGAAGUCAGAAGCCAUGAGCCCCCAGGUGCAGGGUGACUGCAGCUGCUGGAGGCUGCAUCUUCUUCUUGAGCCGGUUGAAGUCCUUGGCCGAGCGCCACAGCCAGGUGACAGUUGAAGCAGCAGCGGUGAUGAGCUCUCCAAUGGAGAGGCGUACAAAAAGAAGGAGGAGGAGACGCACAAGACGCUCAGGAAGGACGUGCUGAUUGGCUGGGUGGGCAAACCUUGGGAGAGUGCCCGCUGUGGGGGCAGGACAGAGAGGAAGAGGAGCCUGGAGGAGCUGGAGAGGUAGAAGGUGGCCCAGGAGAGUGCAGAGACCAAGGAAGAGGAGUUCAAGAAGGCAGCAGCGCUCAGCAGUGUGGCUGCAAAACAGACAGCAAGGAGAAUGAGGCUUCAAAACACUGUCGGGCUUGGCAAGGAGGUGCCUGACGACCUUGGAGAGAACCACUGCUGGGGCCUGGAAGCCAGAUUGCAGGGGGUUAAGAAGUGAGUGGGUGGAGAGGAAGUGGAGGCAGAGGGUGUAGACCACUCCUUCGAGAAAUUUGGCAGGGAAAGCCAGGAGAGAAAAAGGGUCGGGAACUAGAGAGGGCAGUGGAGUGAAGCAAAGGUUUUCUGCACAAGGAACAAGAGAGAGAUGAGAGUGGCCCAUUGGUACCAGAGCCCCAUUUGCCACUGACACACCCAGGCCCACCAGCUGAAGGGCUGGGGAGAGACGGGUACUCACUAACACUCUGAAGGAAGGGUUCAGCUGAUAGAAGCAGGGCUGCAGAAGGAAGAAGUGGAGGCAGUCUCAUAAGUAUGACAGGAGGAAGGCUAUGGAAGACAGCAUGGUAUAGGGAAGAGGGCAGAGCCCUUGACAACCCUCGGGGGAGCGGCUGGGGCCCAGGGAAAGGGAUGAGGGAGAUGUAUAACUGGGAAAGAAGGGAGAAGCAAGGGGAGAGGCCUGGGAUAGGCAAGGGCCCAGGGGGAGGUUCACACGCUGACAAGCACAGAGACAAACUAAUUUCCUCGGUGUAUCCUGGGGCUGGAGCCAGCUCCCCCGCCACCCUCCUCCCUUUUCUUUCCCUGGCUCCAGAGUAGGGUCUGGGAUGUGGAAGAGGAACAUGGGAAGAGGGGGCCGGUUCCCCAUGGUCCUCAGCUUCUCCAAUCCUCCUUCCUUCUCUCCUGGGCUCUCUGAACACCUUUGGACCACCCCCAAAUCCUUAAAGCAUAACCUCCAUCCACACCCUAAACCCCCUGCCACUACUGCCUGGGUUCCCUACAGUCCCCUUCCCCCAUGACCCCCCUAGGAGGCCCAGCUAGGAUGGGAGAGGCAGACGGAAGGGAGGCCCCUGGGUCCAGAGCAGCAGGGCCCCAGGUCUAGGGGCAGAGGCGAGCUGGAACGCAGGCAUGGGAGGUGGGGCCCCUCUGUCCCCACCCAACCCCGCCCGCGCAAGAGACACCACAACACGGUGUAAACAGAGGAGACUUCCCCAGCCCCCAGGGGGAGGCGGGCGGCUGGGCUGGCAGCCAGUGGGGCAAUGGGCCAAGGCGGGUGCGAGGCCUGCCCACAUGCCUAGUCCUGGGGCCAGGGAUGGGGAAGUGGGGGGGCCACCUAAGAGGGAAGGGCAGGAGAUAGACCAGACAGGGGGACUGGUGGGAGCCAAAGAGCCCCUCCUUACCCCAUCAUUUACCAGGACCCUCCACGGUUAGGACUCUUUCCGCAACUCCUCACUCCUCCCCAACUCCCAGACUCCUACGCUGGAUACUCACAUAGGUC